rnacentral:lncRNA from 10 species
CACUCAACUUCUUCAUUCAAUCCUACAACAAUGCCAGCAACGACACCUACUUAUAUCGAGUCCAGAGGCUAAUUCGAAGUCAGAUGCAGUUCAAGUGAUUCUCCUGCCUCAGCCUCCCAAGUAGCUGAGAUUACAGUGACGACGGGAGUGGAGUAUAUAGUCACUGUGAAGAUUGGCUGGACCAAAUGCAAGAGGAAUGACACGAGCAAUUCUUCCUGCCCCCUGCAAAGCAAGAAGCUGAGAAAGGUUUAAUUUGCGAGUCUUUGAUAUACACCAUGCCCUGGAUAAACUAUUUCCAGCUCUGGAACAAUUCCUGUCUGGAGGCCGAGCAUGUGGG